CUACGGGUGGCAGCAGUGGGGAAUAUUGGACAAUGGGGGAAACCCUGAUCCAGCAAUUCCGCGUGGAUGAUGAAGGGUUUAGGCUCGUAAAGUCCUUUUAGUUGGGAAGAUAGUGACGGUACCAACAGAAAAAGCACCGGCUAAUUACGUGCCAGCAGCCGCGGUAAGACGUAAGGUGCAAGCGUUAUCCGGAAUUACUAGGCGUAAAGGGCAUCUAGGCGGCUAUGUAAGUCAGAGGUGAAAAGUCUGGGCUCAACCGAGGCCUUGCCUUUGAUACUGCAUAGCUAGAGUACGGGAGAGGAGGGCGGAACUACAAGUGUAGAGGUGAAAUUCGUAGAUAUUUGUAGGAAUGCCGAUUACGAAGGUAGCUCUCUGGACCGAUACUGACGCUGAAGUGCGAAAGCUAGGGGAGCGAACAGGAUUAGAUACCCUAGUAGUC
rnacentral:rRNA from 1 species